AGCCACGAAUAAUAUGUAUAAAAAGAAAAGGUGCUCAAGUCAAAUUAGCAAUCACAGUUGAUGGAGAAAGUAAAAUAUUUCAUGGGAAAAGUAAAUUUAAGCAAUUUUUACCUACCAUCUAUCUCUGCAGAAGGCACUAGAAGAAAAAUUUCAGUCUGAAGAGUAAAUUGAUAUCUUUUUUUUUUUUAUUCUUUUUUUUUUUUUUUUUAGAUUUUUAUUUAUUAUUAUAUGUAAGUACACUGUAGCUGUCUUCAGACACUCCAGGAGAGGGCGUCAGAUCUUGUCACAGAUGGUUGUGAGCCACCAUGUGGUUGCUGGGAUUUGAACUCUGGACCUUUGGAAAAGCAGUCGGGUGCUCUUACCCACUGAGCCAUCUCACCAGCCCGUAAAUUGAUAUCUUAGUCAGUGCUCUAUUGCUGUGAAUAAACACCAUGUUCAUGGCAAUUUCUAUAAAAGAAAAGCAUUUAAUUGGUGUUUGCUUAUGAUUUCAGAGGUUUAGUUCAUUGUCUUCAUGGUGGGGAGCAUGGUAGCACACAGGAAGACAUAGUAGUUUUAUAUCUAGGCUAUAGACAACAGGAAAAUUGAAAAGUCUCUGGCCUUGCUUGGUCUUCUAAAAUCCCAAAGCCUACUCCCAGUGAUAUACUUUCUCUAACAAGGUCACACCUACACCAACAAGGGAACUCAAGUUUACUUAAAAAAAAAACCCUACUACUUUAAAAUCACAUACUGUCCUCCCCACAACUAGUUUACUUCAACACUACAUACUUGCCAAUAGCUGUCAUCCAUACAAAAACCAAAGAGAGGAAUGCUGGAAUUAAAUAAUUUCAUACAUCAAAUAGACUUAAUAGAUAUCAAAAGAACAUGUCACUCAACAGCUUACAAGAAUACCUCCAAUAUUGACCACAUAUUGUGAUACAAAGAAAGUCUCAACAAAUACAGAAAAUUGAAAUAACACCCUGCAUUCUUUCUGACCAUCAUGGAUUAAAGUUAGAUAUCAACAAAUGGAAAUGGCAGAAAGUGUACAAGAUAAACAAUUCACUACUGAAUGAAAAUUGAGUAAAGAAAUUAAAACAUUUUAGAACUAAAUUAAAGUGUUAGCAUAGAAUACUCAAAUUGCAGAGAUGCAACAAAGGCAGUUCUAAAAAGCAAGAUCAUAACACUAAGUUCCAAGAUAAGAGACUGUAAAGGUACAAUAAAACUUAAUGACACACUUGAAAGCAUUACAAACCAACAAGAGGUAAUAUUUUAAAAGAUUAUGUAGUAAAACAUAAACAGUGCUAAAAUCAAUAAAAUAGAAUUAAAAAACUAAUAAUAAAGAGAAUCAGUGAGAUGAAAAGUUGGUUCUUUGGCGAAAUCAAUGAGACUGACAAACCUUUAACCAAACUAAUCAAAAGACACACAUUAAGAGAAGAUCUAAAUUAAUAAAAUUAUAGAUGAUAAGGAAGCCAUUACAACAGACGCCAAGAAAACUUAGGGAAUCAUGAGGAUAUGCUUUAAAAAUUUAUAUAUCACAAAACUGUAAAUUCUAAAAGAAAUGGAUGGAUCUCACGGUAAAUAUAGCCCGCUAAAGCU
rnacentral:lncRNA from 1 species